CGCCUAACACAUGCAAGUCGAGCGGUAACAUGAUUUGUAGCAAUACAAAUUGAUGACGAGCGGCGGACGGGUGAGGAACACGUAGGAAUCUGCCCAGAAGCGGGGGACAACCAAGGGAAACUUUGGCUAAUACCGCGUAAUCUCGAAAGAGUAAAGCUGCCCGCAAGGGUGGCGCUUCUGGAGGAGCCUGCGUCCGAUUAGCUAGUUGGUGAGGUAAGAGCUCACCAAGGCGAUGAUCGGUAACUGGUCUGAGAGGACGACCAGUCACACUGGGACUGAGACACGGCCCAGACUCCUACGGGAGGCAGCAGUGGGGAAUAUUGGACAAUGGGGGCAACCCUGAUCCUUGCUAUGCCGCGUGGGUGAAGAAGGCCUUCGGGUUGUAAAGCCC
rnacentral:rRNA from 1 species